AGUGAACGCUGGCGGUAGGCCUAACACAUGCAAGUCGAACGGCAGCACAGUAAGAGCUUGCUCUUACGGGUGGCGAGUGGCGGACGGGUGAGGAAUACAUUGGAAUCUACUUUUUCGUGGGGGAUAACGUAGGGAAACUUACGCUAAUACCGCAUACGACCUACAGGUGAAAGCAGGGGAUCUUCGGACCUUGCGCGAUUGAAUGAGCCGAUGUCGGAUUAGCUAGUUGGCGGGGUAAAGGCCCACCAAGGCGACGAUCCGUAGCUGGUCUGAGAGGAUGAUCAGCCACACUGGAACUGAGACACGGUCCAGACUCCUACGGGAGGCAGCAGUGGGGAAUAUUGGACAAUGGGCGCAAGCCUGAUCCAGCCAUACCGCGUGGGUGAAGAAGGCCUUCGGGUUGUAAAGCCCUUUUGUUGGGAAAGAAAAGCAGCAGGUUAAUACCCCGCUGUUCUGACGGUACCCAAAGAAUAAGCACCGGCUAACUUCGUG
rnacentral:rRNA from 1 species